rnacentral:rRNA from 1 species
GACGAACGCUGGCGGCGUGCUUAACACAUGCAAGUCGAACGUGAUUUUUGUGGAAAUUCUUUCGGGAAUGGAAAUGAAAUGAAAGUGGCGAACGGGUGAGUAACACGUGAGCAACCUACCUUACACAGGGGGAUAGCCGUUGGAAACGACGAUUAAUACCGCAUGAGACCACAGAAUCGCAUGAUAUAGGGGUCAAAGAUUUAUCGGUGUAAGAAGGGCUCGCGUCUGAUUAGCUAGUUGGAAGGGUAAAGGCCUACCAAGGCGACGAUCAGUAGCCGGUCUGAGAGGAUGAACGGCCACAUUGGAACUGAGACACGGUCCAAACUCCUACGGGAGGCAGCAGUGGGGAAUAUUGCACAAUGGGGGGAACCCUGAUGCAGCGACGCCGCGUGAGCGAAGAAGGUUUUCGAAUCGUAAAGCUCUGUCCUANGAGAAGAUAANGACGG